CCUACGGGAGGCAGCAGUGAGGAAUAUUGGUCAAUGGGCGGAAGCCUGAACCAGCCAAGUAGCGUGCAGGAUGACGGCCCUACGGGUUGUAAACUGCUUUUAUACGGGAAUAACGCGCCUUACGUGUAGGGCUUUGCAUGUACCGUAUGAAUAAGGACCGGCUAAUUCCGUGCCAGCAGCCGCGGUAAUACGGAAGGUCCGGGCGUUAUCCGGAUUUAUUGGGUUUAAAGGGAGCGUAGGCCGCAUGUCAAGCGUGACGUGAAAUGUCCGGGCUCAACCCCGGCCCUGCAGUUGGAACUGGGCGGCUAGAGGCCGCGGGAGGCAGGCGGAAUUCGUGGUGUAGCGGUGAAAUGCUUAGAUAUGACGAAGAACCCCGGUUGCGAAGGCAGCCUGCUGGAGGAGGACUGACGCUGAUGCUCGAAAGCGCGGGUAUCGAACAGGAUUAGAUACCCCAGUAGUC
rnacentral:rRNA from 1 species